AGCAGCCGCGGUAAUUCCAGCUCCAAUAGCGUAUAUUAAAGUUGCUGCAGUUAAAAAGCUCGUAGUUGAAUUUCGGGACCAUCAUGUCGGUCGUGCCUCGGUACGUACUGGCAUUGUUGGUUUCUCCCUCCUGACGAACCAUGAUGUCAUUUAUUUGGUGUCGUGGGAAAUCAGGACUGUUACUUUGAAAAAUUAGAGUGUUUAAAGCAGGCUCACGCUUGAAUACAUUAGCAUGGAAUAAUGAAAUAGGACGUUUGAUUCUAUUUUGUUGGUUUCUAGGAUCGACGUAAUGAUUAAUAGGGAUAGUUGGGGGCAUUAGUAUUCAAUUGUCAGAGGUGAAAUUCUUGGAUUUAUUGAAGACUAACUACUGCGAAAGCAUUUGCCAAGGAUGUUUUCAUUAAUCAAGAA
rnacentral:sRNA from 1 species